GUGUUGAGAUUGUUAAAAUAGAGCACUUCGUCUCCAAUUUCUUAAAAUAACACUUAUCAUCACUCAAAUCCAGUAAAAAAAUGACCGUUUGUGUAACCACAGUUUUAUUACAAAUACCAUGGUUGAACUGUGGUAAAUGUAGCAAAACUAAGGCGAAUUUGUUGUGAUAAAUGCUUAGCCACAAUAGCCAUGUGCUUUUUUUCUUUCUUUUAGUUUAAUCUGUUGUAAAACUAUGGUAAAUGUUCAUAAGGUAUGAUCUAAAAAGUGUGUAAACUACACGCAUUAUCUCUUAAUAGAUGAGGUGGAGGAGGACGAGGGAACAACAAAGAGGAAAAAGAGUAAAGUGGCCAAUUUCCUCAAAGCUGCCAGAAAACUCUUCAGGAUGUCCUGCUUUGGCCAGACUGAGGAGCAGCUCUCUGACCCUGCAGACUCUGAUGAUGACAUUCUCUGCCCAUCCGAGUCUGACCAGAGUCUGGAGGUUGCUCUUGUCAUCACUCAUAAUCAUGAAGAGAGUUGUGUGAAUGACGACCUAAAGGUGGAUGAGAAAGAUGACAUGAAGACACACAACACAGAGCAUGUCAACAAAGAGGAGGAGGUGGAGGAGAUGAGGAUGAACGAUGAGAAGGACAAGGAGGAAAAGAUUAAGAAGAGGAGGAGGAGAAAGAGAAAUAGCAAGAUGAAGGAGGAGGAGGAAAAGAAAGAGGAGGAGGUGGUGAAAGAAGAGAUGAAGAUAAAAGAGGAGAGUUUGAAAGAAAAUGAAGAGGAGGAGGAGGAUAAGAAUGAAAAAGAGAUAAAAGUAAAGGAGGAGAAGAUGAAAGAUGAUGAGGAGGAGAACAAUGAGGAAGAGAUGAAGAUAAAAGAAAAUGAGGACGAGGAGAAGGAAAACAUGAAAAAGAGAAUGAGGAGGAGAAAAAGAAAUAACAGGAUAAAAGAGGAGAAGAAGGAGGAGAAGUUGAUAGAGAAGGAGAUGGAGGUAAAGGAGGAGAGGAUGGAAGAAAAUGAAGAGAAAGAGAUGGAUAAGAAUGAAGAGGAGAUGAAGGAGGAAGAAACAGAGGAGGAGGAGGAAGAAAAGCCAAAGGAGGAGAAGAGAAAAAGAAGCAAGAAAAUAGACAGCAGGAAAAGCAGAAGGAUGAUGAGGAGAAGAAGCAAAAGGAGAAGACUGGGGAGAGUGUGAAUGAGAAAGAGAUGCAAAUAAAAAUGUUGAAAAAAAAGUUUCUGGCCUAAAAUAUUAUUGUG